UACGGAGGGUGCAAGCGUUAAUCGGAAUUACUGGGCGUAAAGCGCGCGUAGGCGGCUUUGUAAGUUAGAGGUGAAAGCCCGGAGCUCAACUCCGGAACUGCCUUUAAAACUGCAUCGCUUGAAUCCAGGAGAGGUGAGUGGAAUUCCGAGUGUAGAGGUGAAAUUCGUAGAUAUUCGGAAGAACACCAGUGGCGAAGGCGGCUCACUGGACUGGUAUUGACGCUGAGGUGCGAAAGCGUGGGGAGCAAACAGG
rnacentral:rRNA from 1 species